GACGAACGCUGGCGGCGUGCUUAACACAUGCAAGUCGAACGGAAAGGCCCUGCUUUUGUGGGGUGCUCGCGUGGCGAACGGGUGAGUAACCCGUGAGUAACCUGCCCUUGACUUUGGGAUAACUUCAGGCAACUGGGGCUACUACCGGAUAGGAGCUCCUGCUGCAUGGUGGGGGUUGGAAAGUUUGGGCGGUUGGGGGUGGACUCGCGGCUUAUUAGCUUGUUGGUUGGGUAGUGGCUUACCAAAGCGUUGACGGGUAGCCGGACUGGGAGGGUGACCGGCCACAUUGGGACUGAGAUACGGCCCAGACUCCUACGGGAGGCAGGAGUGGGGAAUAGUGCACAAUGGGCGGAAGCUUGAUGCAGGAACGCCGCGUGCGGGAUGACGGCCUUCGGGUUGGAAACCGCUUUCGCCUGUGACGAAGCGUGAGUGACGGUAAUGGGUAAAGAAGCACCGGCUAACUACGU
rnacentral:rRNA from 1 species